AGUGAACGCUGGCGGCAGGCCUAACACAUGCAAGUCGAGCGGCAGCGGGUCCUUCGGGCUGCCGGCGAGCGGCGGACGGGUGAGGAAUACAUCGGAAUCUGCCCUGUCGUGGGGGAUAACCUAGGGAAACUUGGGCUAAUACCGCAUACGACCUACGGGUGAAAGCGGGGGAUCGCAAGACCUCGCGCGACAGGAUGAGCCGAUGUCCGAUUAGCUAGUUGGCGGGGUAAAGGCCCACCAAGGCGACGAUCGGUAGCUGGUCUGAGAGGAUGAUCAGCCACACUGGGACUGAGACACGGCCCAGACUCCUACGGGAGGCAGCAGUGGGGAAUAUUGGACAAUGGGCGCAAGCCUGAUCCAGCCAUGCCGCGUGGGUGAAGAAGGCCUUCGGGUUGUAAAGCCCUUUUGUCCGGGAAGAAAUCGUCUGGGCUAAUACCCCGGGCGGAUGACGGUACCGGAAGAAUAAGCACCGGCUAACUUCGUG
rnacentral:rRNA from 1 species